rnacentral:misc_RNA from 3 species
CUCUACUAUUAUCUAGUAUUACUAUAUUUUUCCAUUAACAUAAAAAAGCAUAUUCUUUCUCAUUUUUAUUGAAUAAAUAAAAGUAAUAAAUAAGCAAAAUUUUCAUUUUUAUCUAGAAUUUAAAAAAACUUCAUAAAAGAUUAGGAAAAGUAAAAGUAUAUGAUAUAGAAACCUAUAAUAUAAAUGAAUACAAAUAAAAACAAACAAAUCGAACCAAAUUAUAAAAAGUACUUGUUAUUUUUAAAGUUUAAAGAAACUAUGUAAGGCAAAUAGUACUAAAUAAAAAAGGAGCAAUAACGCCCCCUUGUUUUAUCAAGAGGGAAGCUAUUGCUCCUUUUUUAGUUCAAAAACUCCUAUACAAUCAGACCAAAGUC